rnacentral:rRNA from 1 species
UGGGUAGUCAGUACGAGCGCAUCCCUAUCCUUAUUUGCCAGCGCAUAAUGGCGGGAACUAUAAGGAGACUGCCGGUCACAAACCGGAGGAAGGCGGGGACGACGUCAAGUCAUCAUGGCCCUUAUGGGUAGGGCUACACACGUGAUACAAUGGGUGGUACAGAGGGUCGCCAAAUCGCGAGCUGGAGCCAAUCCCUUAAAACCAUUCUUAGUCCGGAUUGGAGUCUGCAACUCGACUCCAUGAAGUCGGAAUCGCUAGUAAUCGCGUAUCAGAAUGUCGCGGUGAAUACGUUCUCGGGCCUUGUACACACCGCCCGUCACGUCAUGGAAGUGGGUUGCACCAGAAGUGGGUUGUCUAACCUUCGGGAAGACGGUCACCACGGUGUGAUUCACAACUGGGACGAAGUCGUAACAAGGUAGCCCUAGGGGAACCUGGGGCUGGAUCACCUCCUU